AAAAGAAGAAGAAAAUGCUGUUGCCAUCACCACCACAUGAUGAUCUUGGAGGCACAUCCUGAAGUCCUCGUAAGUACUCCAAAUACGUGUAAAAAUGCAGUUCUAUGUGAAUCGCAGGGGCAUGUGCGCCAAGCUCAAUUGUUGGAAUUCAAAGUCUCAGCGGCAGCUGCAGCCAGACAAGUGCCGAGGACCCUGACGGCUGUCUAACAGGUGAGCCCGUGCUACAGUUUGUACCGGGACAUAACAUUUGUAAAGAAACCAAUGUAUCAUACAAGAUACAUGACAAUGUAAUUAGUAUAAAACAGAUGCUGUUGGUGAGUUACUAAGAGUGUAUUAGGUCAGAAUCCGACAAAGCAUGUCAUAGUUACUAAAUAAGCAACUUAAGAUGACUAAGUUUGCACAGCAUACGGCGAUCUGUGUGCAAGUCAUUUCUUCUUCCUCUUUUUUUUUUUAGUGUGGGUGACAAUUAUGCCGGCUGUCACGUGAUUGCCCACCGUGCUUUCUAGACUUGCCAUCCAAUGCCCCACCCGGGGCACCUGCCCCUCUCGCCUCCCACAAAACGGCACUGGUCUGACGUCCUGCAGGACGUUGCAUGACAGAGAGUUGCGUGUCCCAUCAUCUGCUGUUAUGGCACGUUUUGACAAAUUUCAGGAAAAGUGCCUUGUUCUUCUGAAUGAAACUUUCACACUUGUGUGUCUAUGGCACUCGUGAAUAUAUGAAUAUAGUUUUGGCUAAGUUUUGGAAUCGCCCAGGCUGAAUGAGACUGUCUCUUUAAGCUAUUGUCAUUCUUAAUCUUUCUACGUGGACCGCCUUGCUGUGCUUGGUGGUACCACCAUGAAUAAUGUCGUGCGCCUUGUGAUGGAGACCUGCAUUAGGAAAGCCCUCCAACAGCAUCUGACUGUGGAGGGCCGAAAUGGGAACAAGGCACAAUGCUCUUCUCUUCUGUACUGGCUGCGGUGCGCAAGAAGAUGGACACCUUAAAGGUUGAAGUGACUGACCAAGAUAUAACAUCAAUGAUUGGUCGCUACCUAACUUGUGCAGGUGACAGAGAAGGUUGGCGGAGACAUAGAGUACAAAGGAGUGAAAUAAAUGCUGUU